UAAUCAUCUGUCUGGCAAGCUUUAUUACCGGUAGCAGACGUCAAUUUUCUCUCAUGAGACCCACCAUGCUGUUUAAAGCCUUUACACUUCAGACUUGUUAUUGUCAGAAAUUGAGGCUGCUGCAGUGGAGCUAGAACGUCUAAUGUGCCCAGCUAGGAGGCCCUGUCAGAUAAAGUUGUUUGGCUGGACGGCCCAUUCAACGUGCACACAGCAAUGCGUGGUCGGUUCAUGGAUAUACGAAAUUUUUUUCCCCAAACGACCCCAUUUGGCAUAGACGAGACACGGGAGACUCACACACUCACCAACAAAAAAUAAAGGAAGAAGAUGGGUAUGUUGUACGGGGUAACAUAAAGCCAAAAGGAAAUAAUAAAUAAUAAUAAACAA